rnacentral:lncRNA from 1 species
UUUGUCAAUCAGUGCCAUGAUCCCAACGAAGCAGCCCAUGCGGUGACUGAACAGGCAAUACAGUACGGUACUGAGGAUAACAGUACUGCAGUAGUAGUGCCUUUUGGUGCCUGGGGAAAAUAUAAGAACUCUGAAAUCAACUUCUCAUUCAGCAGAAGCUUUGCCUCCAGUGGACGAUGGGCCUGAUUACCAGCUGGGACUUAGAGUUUCUGUGCAACAGUUUUUCACUGAGCAUGUCAAGAAACUGAUAAGAUCAAAAAGGUCUCCUAACUCACUAGAUCAGCGCACAAGUCAGUGUAAACCACUUAGAUAGUAGUUUUUUCAUAAAUGCUCAUCAUAUUUAUGUUCCGCUGUACAUGUUCAGUAUAAAUAUAUGUGUAGUGAAGCUACUGUGAGUCUUUAAAUGGAAAGAGCAAAUGAGAAGUGGUUUGGAUACACUUGAUGAGAGAUGAGAGUGUCACAUUAAUAAUUUUUAAGACUCUUAGGCAGCUAUGGGUUUCUUUUGAUCAUUUUUGUUCUUUAUUCAUUUGAACACGUUUUUGAAGUUCUUCAAAACUAGUCAGUUUGAAUUUUGACAGCUAUUCAAUAUGUGAUCUCCAAGUUUAAAAAAAUUUUUUUCCAGACUUCCCUAAUCCUAAAAUGCGAGUUUUUAUUUUUAAUAACUGUACCAAGGAAUAAGUAUGAAAACAGUUCUCUGUUACCAUAUUUUGUAUUCUGGACCACUUACUGGUGAAAGCAACCAUGC